rnacentral:rRNA from 1 species
GACGAACGCUGGCGGCGUGCUUUAUACAUGCAAGUCGAACGAGAAGCUGACUUCGGUCAGUGGAAAGUGGCGGACGGGUGAGUAAAAUGUAGAGAAUCUGCCCUUGAGCGGGGGAUAACGAGUCGGAAACGAUUGCUAAUACCCCAUAUGAGGUGAGUUGAAAUACUUAUCUUGAAAACUCCGGUGCUCAAGGAUGAGUCUGCAUCUGAUUAGCUAGUUGGUGGUGUAAUGGACCACCAAGGCGAUGAUCAGUAGCUGGUUUGAGAGGAUGAUCAGCCACAAUGGGACUGAGACACGGCCCAU